GACGAACGCUGGCGGCGUGCUUAACACAUGCAAGUCGAACGGAAAGGCCCUGCUUUUGUGGGGUGCUCGAGUGGCGAACGGGUGAGUAACACGUGAGUAACCCGCCCUUGACUUUGGGAUAACUUCAGGAAACUGGGGCUAAUACCGGCUAGGAGCUCCUGCUGCAUGGUGGGGGUUGGAAAGUUUAGGCGGUUGGGGAUGGACUUGCGGCUUAUCAGCUUGUUGGUGGGGUAGUGGCUUACCAAGGCUUUGACGGGUAGCCGGCCUGAGAGGGUGACCGGCCACAUUGGGACUGAGAGACGGCCCAGACUCCUACGGUAGGCAGCAGUGGGGAGUAUUGCACAGUGGGGGGAAGCGUGAUGCAGCAACGCCGCGUGCGGGAUGACGGCCUUGGGGUUGUAAACCGCUGUCGCCUGUGACGAAGCGGGAGUGACGGUAAUGGGUAAAGAAGCACCGGCUAACUACGUG
rnacentral:rRNA from 1 species